CACGUAGGGCGCAAGCGUUGUCCGGAAUUAUUGGGCGUAAAGGGCGCGUAGGCGGUGCGGUAAGUCUGUAGUGAAAUCUCUGGGCUCAACUCAGAGUCUGCUGCAGAAACUGCCGUGCUUGAGUGUGGGAGAGGUGAGUGGAAUUCCCGGUGUAGCGGUGAAAUGCGUAGAUAUCGUAAGGAAGACCAGUGGCGAAGGCGGGUCUCUGGACAGUUCCUGACGCUGAUGCACGAAGGUCAGGGGAGCAAACGGG
rnacentral:rRNA from 1 species